rnacentral:rRNA from 1 species
UGGGGAAUUUUGGACAAUGGGGGAAACCCUGAUCCAGCCAUCCCGCGUGUGCGAUGAAGGCCUUCGGGUUGUAAAGCACUUUUGGCAGGAAAGAAACGUCAUGGGUUAAUACCCCGUGAAACUGACGGUACCUGCAGAAUAAGCACCGGCUAACUACGUGCCAGCAGCCGCGGUAAUACGUAGGGUGCAAGCGUUAAUCGGAAUUACUGGGCGUAAAGCGUGCGCAGGCGGUUCGGAAGGAAAGAUGUGAAAUCCCAGAGCUCAACUUUGGAACUGCAUUUUUAACUACCGGGCUAGAGUGUGUCAGAGGGAGGUGGAAUUCCGCGUGUAGCAGUGAAAUGCGUAGAUAUGCGGAGGAACACCGAUGGCGAAGGGAGCCUCCUGGGAUAACACUGACGCUCAUGCACGAAAGCGUGGGGAGCAAACAGG